CACUGUAAUCUAAUUGAUAUCACUUAUACACUACCGCACAAAUCCAGCAACAGGCUGAAGGAAACAAACAACCGAAACAAAAAAAAAGAGAAGAGUGCUUAAUGGAUAAGUAGCAACACGUUUUCAACCACCACGACUCCGUUUCACCACGAACCUAGGUUCCAUCCCCGUUCGGCCGCGCCGGAGUUCUUCACCGACGGCAGCGGAACUCCUACAAACACGACCUCCACACGGCCAAACUCACUGCGAUUCCCUUAAUCCAAAUCCACUGUUGAUCCAACCUAAUCUCUAUUCGAAAAUGCAAACCGAAGCAAAAGUUCUCACGAACCCUAGAUUGAAUAUCCCCAAAUCCGGUCCUCAUACGGAGGUAAUCGAGCUUGCAAGUUUGGGAGAAUCAUUCACUGGAUCCAUAUUUGCACAACGAUAAUCAACGCGAGUAAAAUCGGUGGAGUUUCACAUACCUUCAUCGUCGACGGUGACGCACGCGGCGGACGGCGUUUGGAUACUGAUGCGGUACAAAACAAUCGCUUCUCUACUCUCCUAUUCUUCGUCUACUCCAAUCUUCCUCGCCGUUCUCUGGCGCUUUGAAUCGCGGCGUUCACGUAUCUUGAAUCGUAAUCGUGGAAGGCGCGGUUCGAUUGUUGGGAUUCGAGAAGAUUCACUGAGGCGAGGGACACCACGGAUUGGGGACGGAAUCAAAGUCCAGCAAGAACAACCAAUGAAUUCGCCGGCAAAGAUGACCGGCGCAACGACGAUGUUACUGGAAGUUCGUCUCAGAGACUGAGGCAGAGUGAAUUCUAGCUCGACCAAUCAAAGCCUCAACGUGGAACUUUGAUGGCUUUGUCUCAGAGCUUUGGUAAAGGGUGGAAUAGUGGUGAAGAUGCGGAAUAGAAGAUGGAAACUAGAAGAUGCAGGUUGUGAGUGAUGAUUGAAGAAGAGUUCUUGGACCGAUUCACGGUGGUUGAAGGUUUGGGUUCGAUGAUUAGCAGAGUUUGUGAUGAGGUUGAAGAAUUGAAUAGGCGAUGGAGGAAGAAAAGGAGAAUCCGGAAAAAUUGUAGAGAGGUGGGGGUUUUGAUGAAGGUUGUUGAAAAUCUUGUGAAGGUGGAGAUUACGGUUACGGAUCCGUAGUGGUGAAGGUGUGGAUUGGAAGGUGAAGGUUGAUGUUGAAGAAGAUUAUGUUUUUGGAAUUUGGAGUUUGGUGAAGGUUUUGAUGAAGAAGCUGGAAGUGGAUUGAGAGUGGAGGUGGAGAAGAAUGGUGAAUUGUUGAAUUAUGGGAAAGAUGAUGGAAGAAAAAAUUGGAUUGAAGAUGGAGGAUGGUUCUUAUAGAGUGAUGAGAGGUUAGAAGAAAUUUGUUAGAAGAAAAUUCUGUUAUUGGAUUUGUUAUUUCUUCUGUGAAAUUAUGCAGGUUCACUGUUAGUUGCAGUUUUUAAUUGAAACUGUCAAUUUCUGUUUGCAGGACUUUUGUUGAAGGUAAAAAAUGGUUUUUUAUUGCCGGCGUUACCGUAA